rnacentral:piRNA from 1 species
CUGUAGGCAUCCAUCAAU